CGAACGGGUGAGUAACGCGUGAGUAACCUGCCCUGGAGUGGGGGACAACAGUUGGAAACGACUGCUAAUACCGCAUAAGCCCACGAUCCGGCAUCGGAUUGAGGGAAAAGGAUUUAUUCGCUUCAGGAUGGACUCGCGUCCAAUUAGCUAGUUGGUGAGGUAACGGCCCACCAAGGCGACGAUUGGUAGCCGGACUGAGAGGUUGAACGGCCACAUUGGGACUGAGACACGGCCCAG
rnacentral:rRNA from 1 species